AAGUAUUAGUGGAGCAGCUCCUUGGACCACAAUUCACUGCAUUGGAAGGCCUGGCCGGCCUUGGCAAGUCCAAAGGAGAAGGGCGGAAUGGGUUUCCGGGGUCUUGAGCUUUGCAACAUAGCACUUCUCGGCAAACACGGUUGGCGACUGAUGACGAAUCCAUCAUUGCUUUGUGCUAGAGUUCUCAAAGGGAGAUAUUUUCCCACUUGUGAUUUCAUGCAAGCUACAACCCCGCGGUAUUCCCCGGCAAUGUGGCAUGCCAUUAUCGCAGGGAGGGAUUCUUUGCAAGUUGGUCUGAUCAAACGCAUUGGAGAUGGCAGGUCGGUCUCUAUCUGGGAUGAGUAGUGGAUUCCC
rnacentral:rRNA from 1 species